AUUUACCAAGGGUUGUGAUGAAUUUAAAUCAAGAUUGUUUAAAUCAAGAUUGGAUAUUUGUCUAGAGAAGAUGCUCUAGUUAAAAGAGGAACUAAUUCAGAGUAGAAUGUAAGCAUCCUGGCUGGAGGGCUGAAUCACAAGAAGGAGCAGUGCCACACCUUUGUGACCACCAAGUAAUUGCUGGCAGGGGAUGACAGAGACAGAAGAGCACACUGGCCAGUGACUGAACUAUCUGCACACUCUGAUGAGCUUAUCUUCGUGGCUAUUCACUGUGGCUGAUUCUCCUCCACCUUAAACUAGGAAUAAAUCAAUGGUAACUCCAUUAAGGUCAGUGGAAUCACAG